UGAGGAAUAUUGGUCAAUGGGCGAGAGCCUGAACCAGCCAAGUAGCGUGCAGGAUGACGGCCCUAUGGGUUGUAAACUGCUUUUAUGUGGGGAUAAAGUGCGUGACGUGUCAUGCAUUGCAGGUACCACAUGAAUAAGGUCCGGCUAAAUACGUGCCAGCAGCCGCGGUAAUACGUAUGGACCGAGCGUUGUCCGGAAUCAUUGGGCGUAAAGGGUACGUAGGCGGCCCAGUAAGUUAGAAGUGAAAUAAUAUAGCUCAACUAUAUAAAGCUUUUAAAACUGCUAGGCUUGAGAGAUGGAAGGGAAAGUGGAAUUCCUAGUGUAGCGGUGAAAUGCGCAGAUAUUAGGAAGAAUACCGGUGGCGAAGGCGACUUUCUGGUCAUCAUCUGACGCUGAGGUACGAAAGCGUGGGUAGCAAACAGG
rnacentral:rRNA from 1 species